GAGAAGCCCGACAAGCCCGGGCCCUGUGGGAAGCCGCCCCCCAACGCUCACGCCCCACCGAGCAUGAAAGGAAAGAGGGAGAAACUGAGCCCCACCUCUGAAAUGGACCUGGAAAGUGCCAAAACCCAGAUGAAGGAACAAGUAGGGGCAGAUCUUUGAGGACCAUGGGCAAGAAGAUCUGAGAGGGGUGACCCUGACCAUAACUGGAUCUCCACGUGGAUAGUGGGAAGCUAUAUGAUUAUCUUUAAGCAGAAGAAAGGAACUUGACAUUCUUCUCUUCAAGGAAAAGAAGUAUCUGCAGGAGCUUCUAUCAGCCAACCCAUCAUGACCCAGAUUUGCACUACUUCCAGCUCUUUAUCACCCAGAACACCUGAGUCUAGUCAUUUCAGGCAAGAAUCAAGUAACAGCAAAAAGUACUGCUUAGGGACCCCUUAGGAUUCUCAGGGAAGGAGGCACACAGAACUUGAACCCUGGGUCAUUCAUCACGGAGAGAGGAAUGGGGGAGCUGAGGUAUAGCCAGGUAUAACACAGUUGUGUUUUAAAAUGUGCAUAUGUCAGUGUGGGUAGUGAGGAUGAAAGUUUGCAUAUGGCAUCAUAGUGAAUUCCGAAUAUAAAUCCAAUACAGUUGUUUCCAACUUGGACAUGACUGAAUAACAUGGCACCCUCUCCAGCUCAUUUUACAGAUGAGGAACUGAGACAAAUAGGA